rnacentral:sRNA from 1 species
AUAACAAGAACAAAAAACGCGACACCCAAUAAGAACAAUAGAGAACGGCUCUGACAUAACAAGAACAACACGGCAGAGGCGUAGCAAGCAGAUUUUUUUGGAGUCGACGUGCUUUUCAGGGGUUCGCCCCGCAACCUGACACAGAACAAUAAAACUACCUGCAAGGUAGCGGCAGUCACGGUUGGAUCACGUUGGAUGAACGCAGGUCAGCGCUCAAAAAAAUACGUUUGCUCUUGGCCCCGGGUAGGGGCCCUGCGGUACCGAGGCAACGGCUGACAAAAACAACAACAGGCCCGUCUCCAAUAAUAAUAAAAGAGCAGGCAACAACGCUUUGAGGGGAGCUUCGGCUCCCCUCAGUGCUUCCUGCCCUCGUCCUUCUCGUGCUCCC